rnacentral:rRNA from 1 species
UACGUAGGGGGCAAGCGUUGUCCGGAAUUAUUGGGCGUAAAGAGCGCGUAGGCGGUCCGAUAAGUCGGCUGUGAAAGUCAAGGGCUCAACCCUUGAAAGCCGGCCGAUACUGUCGGACUAGAGUCCGGAAGAGGCGAGUGGAAUUCCCGGUGUAGCGGUGAAAUGCGCAGAUAUCGGGAAGAACACCCGUGGCGAAGGCGGCUCUCUGGGACGGUACUGACGCUGAGACGCGAAAGCGUGGGGAGCAAACAGG